rnacentral:rRNA from 1 species
UACGAAGGGGGCUAGCGUUGUUCGGAAUCACUGGGCGUAAAGCGCACGUAGGCGGAUCUUUAAGUCAGGGGUGAAAUCCCGAGGCUCAACCGUCGGAACUGCCUUUGAUACUGGGAUCUCGAGUCCGGGAGAGGGUGAGUGGAACUGCGAGUGUAGAGGUGAAAUUCGUAGAUAUUCGCAAGAACACCCAGUGGCGAAGGCGGCUCACUGGCCCGGAACUGACGCUGAGGUGCGAAAGCGGUGGGGAGCAAACAGGG